rnacentral:tRNA from 1 species
CUGGGCGAUGGACUUCUUGGCGCGGGUCGUCACGGGCUUCUGCCCCGUGAUGGUGGCGAGGUCGCGGAUCGCGCCCUCCAGC